AAACCGGUAUUAGUGUAACACUUACGUAAAAAAAAAACUUUAUUCCAAAAACUGUUCGGUGUGGUUAAUUCCGGCCACGUCGGCUUAAGCCCGGACCGUGAGUUGUUGUUGGUGUUUCUUGGGGGAGUUUUUGCAAAAAAAUUAACAGCAAUCUGCGAAGAAUUGUGUUAGUUUUUUUUGCUAAUUUAAUAGCAACCCACAGAAAAUUAUGUUAAAAUUUUUCAAAAACCCCCCGAGAAACCGCAACAGCAACCCACGGUACUGGUACUGGAUUAAGUCAACGUGGAUGCCACGUGGGUGUCAGGUGGCCGAAAUUAAUCCAGCCAAACUGUUUUUGGAUCUAAGUAUUACAAUAAUACCGGUUAAUAGCUUGAUGUGUGCGUUUUCUGAGUUGGUGGACUAACCGCGAAUCUGUUUCGAGUAUUUGUACCAGUGGUAUAUUGAGCACUCAAUAAAAAAGAAAAAGGUGAGAGACGGUCAAAGAGUCAAAGGUGGCGUUGACCAUUUCUCUUCUCCAUCUUUUCCUUCCGCUCUUCCUCUUCCGCUCUCUUCCAGGCUCCAGCCAUGGACGGAUGAACUUGCCUCGUCCAGAUUGUCUCCAGCGACCCCUCAAACGCAUGUCCACACCAUCGGAUCCCCUCUUCCACGAGCAUUGAUCGAGCUCAAUCUCGUCAACAUGCAUUGAUCGAGCUCAUCUCAUUUCAUCUGCCCCCCGUUCGUUGCUGCAGGGUCACUACUCACUGCUACCACGCGUACUAGAGAGAGGAAGAACGGUAGCCGCGGGCGUCGUCUCCAUGAGCGGCGGGGUUUCGGGGUCGGCGGACUCGCCGGCGAGGCCCUCCGGGGAUGGUGGCGAGUGGCGGCGUAUCUACGACCGGGUCGAGUCCAUGCUGCCGCGGGUCGAGGCGCUCGCCGCCGACCGCGCGCGCCUGGACGCUGCCUACGAGGCCGAGAAAGCCAGCGACAGCGAGCACCUUGCCCGCCUCCUCCAGGCCGAGGCGAGCAGGAGCAGGUGGAAGGCGGCGUACAUGGAGCUGCCUCCCGGGGCUAAUCCCAAGCUCGCUGAACUCCAAGAAAAUGACUUGGAGGAUUCCAGAGAUUGUGAACAUCUUAUUGACAUUGAAAACUCGCAACUGAAGAUUUGACAGAAGGAUGCUAGAAAUUGUGUAGAGCUUAGUCAAAACAAUGAGGAUCAUGAGGACAUUGCAAGGGAUUUAAGAGCAGAGCUAAGAAAACUGAAGCAAGCUUAUGAGACCCUGAGCUUAGGCAAGGAUAAAGAAGUUUCUGCUUUACUUGCAGUAAAGGAUUUUCUGUGGCCAAUUGAGGACAAUGGACAAGGACAACAAAGCGCUUCUGAAGAUAAAGGAAGUGGAGGCAACACAAGCUAUGGAAGCCGCACAAAAGCUUCACAAAAACAUAGAGGAGCUGCAAAUGGCAGCCCGGAAGAAGGAUGAAGAGGUUGUCAGAUUGCAAGCAAAAGCGGUUGAUCCUAAAAAGAAGGAGACUGGUCAAAAGCGCAAGAGGGAUACCAAUGAGAUGCAUCUUGAAUGCUAUGAAGAGCCCAUGAUGCAGAUCUUUGUCAAGACCCUUAAUGGCAAGACCAUCACCCUCCAUGUUAAGAGGUCAGAUAGUAUCUUCAGUAUCAAGGCCAAGAUUCAUGACAAGGAGGGCUUCCCUCCAGGCCAGCAGAGACUUAUGUUUAAAGAUGAGCAGCUGGAGGGCAGCUGCACCCUGUAUAACUACGACAUCGAGGAGGAGGCAACCCUUCACCUUGUCCUCCGAGGCAUGCAUAUCUUCGCUAAGUCGCUGUCGGGCGAGACUGUGACUCUUGAGGUUGAGAGAGCAGAUACCAUCUACAGUGUGAAGGCAAUGAUUUUCAAUCAGACACUUAUUCCCCCAGAUGCGCAGUGCCUCUGCUUUGAUGACAGGCAGCUGGAAUAAACCCGCACCUUGGCUGACUAUAACAUGCAAAAUGAUUCUAUCCUUGAUCUUUCGGUAUGCUGCCUGUGUUCAAAGGAAAGAACGCACGUCUCUGUGAAGACACCUACUGGCAAGACCAUCAUCGAACGCGUGGUAAUGCUCUCAGAGACUGUCGACAAUAUCAAGGAGAAGAUCUAUGUCGAGUUUGGCAUUCCCCUGGACCAGCAGUGCCUCCUCUCCUUGGGCCAAAAGGAGCUGGAGAACGGCUGUGCCCGGGUGAUGGACUACGCUGGGUGCCGCCCCCUCCGUCUGCAGCUCCGCCUUCCUGUCGGAUCGAAGGAAAAUGAGAAGCCCCAUGAAGGGAUAAAUUGAUCCGGAAUCUCUUCAAUUUCCCUGUUGUCAUUCGUCUCGCCUGACCGUGCCUGUAUUAUGUAGCGGAUAGAUGAAUGGAUGAAAAUUGGAGGGCUUUUGGUGAUGUUUAGUGAGAGAAGUUCAGAGUCGGCAGAGGUUGAACUUGAAGAGCUUUUAACAUGUCGUUAGCCUAACGUGUUGUUUGCAUAUGUGCUCUGUCGAUAACAAUCUUCUGAUCUGAACGGAUCACUAGAAUUAACUGCUGAUGGGCAGUCAGCUGCUGCUGUCUACUAAUCUGGUUCUUCGGCUUA